rnacentral:rRNA from 1 species
AGGACGACGCUGGCGGCGUGCCUAAUACAUGCAAGUCGAACGGUCUUUCUAUGGAAGCUUGCUUCCACUGAGAAGAUAGUGGCGAACGGGUGAGUAACACGUGGGUAACCUGCCCAUAAGAGGGGGAUAACAUCCGGAAACGGGUGCUAAUACCGCAUAGUUUUCUUGAUCGCAUGAUUGAGAAAGGAAAGACGGCCUUUGUGCUGUCGCUUAUGGAUGGACCCGCGGCGUAUUAGUUAGUUGGUGAGGUAACGGCUCACCAAGACGAUGAUACGUAGCCGACCUGAGAGGGUGAUCGGCCACAUUGGGACUGAGACACGGCCCAAACUCCUACGGGAGGCAGCAGUAGGGAAUCUUCCGCAAUGGACGAAAGUCUGACGGAGCAACGCCGCGUGAGUGAAGAAAGGUUUUCGGAUCGUAAAACUCUGUUGUCAGAGAAGAACAAGUUGGAGAGUAACUGCUCCAGCCUUGACGGUAUCUGACCAGAAAGCCACGGCUAACUACGUGCCAGCCGCAGC